AAUAGAUACCCUGGUAGUCCACGCCGUAAACGAUGAGUGCUAAGUGUUAGGGGGUUUCCGCCCCUUAGUGCUGCAGCUAACGCAUUAAGCACUCCGCCUGGGGAGUACGGUCGCAAGACUGAAACUCAAAGGAAUUGACGGGGGCCCGCACAAGCGGUGGAGCAUGUGGUUUAAUUCGAAGCAACGCGAAGAACCUUACCAGGUCUUGACAUCCCGUUGACCACUGUAGAGAUAUAGUUUCCCCUUCGGGGGCAACGGUGACAGGUGGUGCAUGGUUGUCGUCAGCUCGUGUCGUGAGAUGUUAGGUUAAGUCCCGCAACGAGCGCAACCCGUUAAUCUUAGUUGCCAUCAUUUAGUUGGGCACCCUAAGGUGACUGCCGGUGACAAACCGGAGGAAGGUGGGGAUGACGUCAAAUCAUCAUGCCCCUUAUGACCUGGGCUACACAUGUGCUACAAUGGACGAUCAAACGGUUGCCAACUCGCGAGAGGGAGCUAAUCCGAUAAAGUCGUUCUCAGUUCGGAUUGUAGGCUGCAACUCGCUA
rnacentral:rRNA from 1 species